rnacentral:lncRNA from 1 species
AGUAUUAAUAAGCCAGCAUUGGUCCUUCUGCUCUAAAAAAUCCAUUAGUCAAACAUUUACUGCAUACCUAAAACAAUGAGCCUCCUUUUGAGGACAGCCGACGUCUUUUGAUUAACACCUUCAUCAUUUAAAGUAAAACUGUAAUUGUCAGCCAAGUCCAUUUGACAAUAGGCACAAAAGAUGGAAAAACACACUGGAAUUAGGGUGUGGUCCACUUUGGAUUCCAUCCCGAUAACCCUGGGAAGGAAGACUCCUUUCCCAGCAGAGCCAUACACUCAGAAACAGCCAAUACUGACUCUCUAAGACCUGUUAAAAAUAAUUUCUUUAUGAUAACGUGGAAACACCAGGCCAAAAAAAAAAAAAAAAAAAAAUCACAAUCCGCUUUCCGUUCUAACGUUCGUCAAGUGGGCUAUUUAUGGAUCCAGACUUUUGAUUUGUAAAACACCGUGUCAGGGGUAUGUCAUCUUUUUGUUGAUUUCCAGUUGAACAGGCUAAGCAGUUGUAAAUACCUCUUGUCAGACUACGUGUGGCUUUUUCUCCCACACAGAGGCCGUCUAGUAACCCACUGGGCAGAUUCCGCAGAGAGCCACCGUGGAAAGCUCUCGCACGCAGCCCAUGAACGGCUCCAGAGCAAAGGAGGGACCGUGAAGGAAGCGGGAGGUGAUGGGUACGGAGGUGGCCGUGGCCUGGGCCUCUAGUUAUGGGGGCACCAACCUUCAUGCUUGCAGUUGCGUGUUCUCCUUGGAUUAUGUUCUACAGAUGUGUUUUAACGGCUACCGUACAGAGCGAGAUGAGGAAGCAAUGGAGACUCAUCGUGACAGGCAAAGGGCACAGAGAGGCGUAGCCUCCUCUCAGAAGGAAGGAACGAGGCCUGCCACAUUCUGUAGAUCUGCUUAGCCAUCUUACUCUUGAACGUGAGGCAAGGAAGGCAACUCAAGCCCUCACCCUCUCGGGAGUCCGAGGCUCCGUCGCCAUUGUCUCAAGCAGCUCACUAGACUUUGUGCGUCAGUCUCUGCUCACCUCAACUGGGAAGAAAUUGUGAUGGUUAAUAUGGCCAACUUGACAGAUCUAACUCACCCAAGAGACAAGCCUCUGGGUAAGUCUGUGAGGAAGUUUGCAGACCGUGUUCACCGAGGUGUGAAGACCUAACCCCCAUCCUCACCCCCAGGGUGUGGGCUGCACCAUUCCGUGAACAGAAGCUGACUAAAAAGGAAAAAGCGAGCUGAGCACCAGUGUCCAUCUCUCUCUGCUUCCUGACAAUGGGUGCCACUGCCCCACGCUUCUGCAACCUUGUCUUCCCCGCCAUGACAGAUGGUGCCAUGAGCCAAGAUCAGCCUCCCUUCCUGGAUUUAGUUUUGUCACAGCAACAGGAAGAGCGACUGAUACAAUUGCAUUUCUGCUGUUAGACAAGCAUAGCUGCAGAUCCCGCCUGGGGAGCUAGCAACCUUCAUGGUUUUUCUUGAAUGAGACCAGGAACUUGACCAUCCCCUCAUCCCUCCAUAGGGUUCUGCUCUCUGAAAAUUCCACCGUUACCACCCACCUGCUCAGCAGGAUAGUCCUCGCUAGGUCCUGGGCUGUGGUGCCAUUAUAAUAUAGGUGACCAUGACAGAUUCCAGGAAAUGGGGCUCGAAGUGAAGGAGGCACAUCUGAGGGACUGGGCUUGUCUGGCUGCUAAUGAACACACAGGAUUUUUCCUACUUAGGGGUAAAAAUGAUGGAAGUCUAUUUGAAGACCAGGCACAAGAUAAACCCAUCAUAGAGCCUCCUGAUGGGACUGGUGUGCUGUGAGUUCGUUGUACAUCCGUGUUCUUGUAUACCAGGAGACAGAGGUGUUUAGGUGAGUGUUUACUGAAUGCAUUCAACUUGGUAAGAACACAGGCUAGCCAAGACUCCUACAUAGCAGAAGUGUGUUCAGGGUGAUUACAUUUAAUUGACGUAAUUGCUCUGAGUUUCAUGGAUAAGGUUUUCUGGGUUUCCUGCUUCAGUUGAAAGAAUAAAGAUCCUUCAGUAUCACUGUCA